rnacentral:rRNA from 1 species
CUACGGGAUGCUGCAGUUAGGAAACUUCUGCAAUACACGAAAGUGUGACAGAGCGAGCCAGAGUGCUUUUCUUAUAAUUAGAGAAGCUUUUACGGGAUGCAAAAAGUCCCGAGAAUAAGGACCGGGCAAGACUGGUGCCAGCCGCCGCGGUAAUCCCAGCGGUCCAAGUCGUAGCCACAAUUAUUGGGUCUAAAACAUCCGGAGCUUGCUUUGCAAGUCUCUUGUGAAAUCGGGACUCUUAAGGUUCCGGCGUGCAAGAGAUACUGCUUAGCUUGAGACCGGGAGAUGUAAAGAGUACGUUUAGAGUAGCGGUAAAAUGCGUUGAUCCUUAACGGACUAACAACAGCGAAGGCACUUUACGAGAACGGAUCUGACAGUGAGGGAUGAAGGCUAGGGGCGCAAAGUGGAUUAGAUACCCCCGUAGUC